rnacentral:rRNA from 1 species
UACGAAGGGGCUAGCGUUGUUCGGAAUUACUGGGCGUAAAAGCGCACGUAGGCGGACAUUUAAGUCAGUGGUGAAAGCCCCGGAGCUCAACUCCGGAACUGCCAUUGAAACUGUUUAGCUUGAGGACGAGAGAGGUGAGUGGAAUUCCCAGUGUAGAGGUGAAAUUCGUAGAUAUUGGGAAGAACACCGGUGGCGAAGGCGGCUCACUGGCUCGUAUCUGACGCUCAGGCGGCGACAGCGUGGGGAUCAAACAGG